rnacentral:lncRNA from 10 species
CCCACAGUACUGGGAUGGUUGGGCCUUGGGCUGAGAAGGAGACAGGGAAGGGUGCUAUAGGAGCUGUGUGAUCCUAGGUGAGCUGUCUGACCUCUCAGAUUUGUUCUCAUCAACAGAAUGGGGAUAAUGGAAUCUGCCUCCUGGGACUGUCACGAGAAUUAGAUGAGGGAUUUUGGAAAGAACAUGGCCCACGGUUGAGUUCCGGAGAGGCUGCUUCCUCUCUGGGCGACCUUAUUCCACUUCUCUGAUCUUGAGUUUCCCAAUCUGCAGAACAGGGGGAAGGAAAACUGCCCCCGGGACUGCUGGCAUUAAAUGAGAUCGUGCCUAGAAAGCCCUCGCAGGAAGACCCCCUCCAGGGUCACACACCUCUCUCUUUCCCUCCCCUGUCCCUUUCCCUCUCCCCUCCUGGGACAGACUCCAGGGGAGGAAGCGCUGUCUCUAAGUGGGUGAGGACUCGCCCAGACUCGCCCGCCUGACUCCGCCUGGUUUCUACGUUGCCACCCUUUUGCCACCAAAUGGCCACCUUCAGGGUUGGCCCUUUCACUCCCACUGGAGAAUCCAACCGGAGCCACAGUCACUGACCAGGGACUUCUGAAGACAGGAGGAGCAUCGAAUGAGAAGAUCCAACCAACAACCCGGUCCCCACGGCAACACGUUGACACUGGUCCUCUCCACCUGAGGCCUCGUCUGGGGCUCCCUACAUCUUCAGAAGUGGUUCUACUUUUAUGCCCCAUUUGUCAAUGAGGAAAGAGUUGGGAAUCCAGAGAAAAACCCGGGUCCAUCUGACUCCAAAACCAGCACUCUGUCCGCUCACGCUUUUCCAUGUCAGAGGGCUGUGUGUGUUGAGGAGGGGUCUACCCACUCCUUCAUCCCCCAAGCCCUCAGGAAACAAAGAGAGUCCAGCACAUAACAAGUGCUCAAGUGGUUGUAGAUGAGCAAGGGAAUGAAUGAUGGACAAGCAAGUGAAUGAAUGAAUGCACUUGUGGAGUCCUGCUGUCCUUUCUUUCCCGGAAACUCCCUCUUUCCCCUCCAUGCUCUACCCCAAAUGGUGUUCACCUCACCCACCAUUGCCCCAUCCAUCCUCCCCUCUCUGCAGCCACCUUGGGCCAACAAUAGAUGGGACUCCUCCCAUCACCUACAGCCCACUUGCAACCUCAGGAUGCUUUGAUGGGGUUGCCUUGGCAACUGUAAGUUUCCAAUUGAAGCAAAAAGUUCCUACCAGGGUUUUCGAUGAAGAAUGACGGGAGAACCAGCAGAGAAGGUUGCCCAGGCAACGGGAACAUUUAAGUCAAACUUUGCGGGUCUCAGUGUGGGGAGAUUAUCCUCAGCAAGGCGAAGAGAUCGGCCCCCUUGCCAGGCGGCUCUGCCAACGCAAGCUGCGCGUUCAUGGAGAUGGGGGAGGCCCCCAGCCUAACCUCAGCCGGCCGGUUGUUUCUGACAAUUAUUGAUCUGCCAUCUCCAGAGUUCUCUGACUCAUGACAAGCCCCAGACGGGCCUCGAGCCUGGCAGUGUCUCCAGGUCGACCAGGUGACUCGAGAGGGGGCUUUGUGCCCUCAUUUAUCUCUGUGCCGGACCCAGGGGUUGGGUUUCUCUCAGUUACUGCCUCACUUUGCCCCUGUCUUUGUUAACUCGUCUGUCCUUUGUCCCCCUGCAGAAGCAGACAUGGGCCCUCAGCAUAUGAUGUCAGCGGCUCUGGCGCCCAGCUUUGUUAGCAGCGGUUCCUGAGUGGGUAAAAAGGAUGAGCCCCUCUCUCUAGGGAGAAGGAAGGGAGCAUGAGAGGCGGGGAAGCCCUGAGGCCUGCGGGUGGUAAGGAAAGCAGCUGGGAUCUGACAGACAAGGCUGAUUCCAGGGAAUCCAGGCCCUGUGGCUUCUGCAGGGGACUGAGACCCCCUGGGGCAAGAUCCCCUUUCAGGUGCCUGAUCCUGCAGGGUGAUGGGGUGGGAGGGUCUUAGACGCACCUGGGCCCCCACCUGCCCUGUGCUAUCUCAGCCCCUGGCUUCUGCCCUUUUUUCUUCCCUCUCCUGCUCCCCUCAUCCAUGUGUAAAAACCAGGCACCCAGAAAACGAGUAGGGUGAAACUUGGUGCCUGCCUUUACCUGCAGGGGGCUUGGGCAUCACUUGACCUAGGCCUCCAAGACUCUGCCCUCCUCCCUGGUCCUCCAACAGCCUUCAGCUUCGUCCAGCACCCAGCCCUUUGCACCUGUGGAACCCCCUGCCUGGAUCACUCCACCCCUCCCCACCCCCACGCAGGCCUCGACCACACCACUUUUCUCCACCCUCUUUAUGGCAGAUGUCACACCCUGGAACCGUGUGGUGUUUCUGUUGUCUGCCUACAGUAGGACGUAGGCUCCACGCCACAGGGACUCUGGCUUCCUGGUCGGCCACUUUGUGUCUGGAGCAUGGAGCCGGGCAGGUGCCCGGCAGAUGUGUGUUGAAUAAACAGCUCUCCCUCCUGUCAGGACAAGCAAAAGCAUCAGAGACAGAGACAGACAGAGAUAGAGAUGAAAGACAGACAGAGUUGGAGACGGCGAUAGAGUGAAUGAGAGAGAGACGGCAGCAUGUGUGAGGCGGGGGCAGUAGGAGCUUUCCAGGGGCUCUGAUGGGAUGGACAAGACUGGACACCAAGGUCUUCAUCGGCAAGAGGUUCCUGUGACACAGACAUGACACCCCACAGCCUGCAGAAGGUGGACACAGUCAGGAGGGCCCCCCUGGCUUUGAGAGCAGACGGCAGAGUCCCGUGAGGAAAUCUUGGCUUAGCCUCUUCCCCACUGUGUGAUUUUGGACACCUUCCUUGACCUCUCUGAGCCUCUGACCUUCUGCCGGACAGUGCUGACUUGCAGAGUUGUUGUAAGGUUUGGAGAUCAUGGAUGCAAAAUGUCUCCAACUAGCCUAGCACGUGCUGAACAUCUGGCUUCUCGGCCUCUGCACUGUGGACAUUUGGGCCUGGAUAAGUCUCCGUUGUAAGGGGCUUCCCUGUGCUUGCAAAAUGUGGAGUAGCACCCCUGGUCUCCACCCACUAGAUGCCAGUAGCAUCCUUCAGUUGUGACCACCAAACAUGUCUCCAGACAUUGACAGAUGUCCCCAGAGACAAAAUUGGCCCUGGUCGAGAACUACUGGAAUAAUCAUAGUUUAUAAUAAUAGUUUAUAAUAAUAAUAGAUUAUUUAUAAUAAUCUCCUCUUCCCUCCUCAGCUCUCCCUCCUGUCAGGACAAGCAAAAGCAUCAGAGACAGAGACAGACAGAGAUAGAGACAAAAGAUAAAAGAUAGAGACAAAAGACACAAAAAAUAACAGAUUAUUUAUAAUAAUUAUUUAUAAUAAUCUAUUAUUAUUAAUAGUAAGAAUGAUUUUUUUGAGACGGUCUUGCUCUGCCAUCCAGGCUGGAGUGCAGUGGUGCAAUCAUGGCUUACUGCAGCCUUGACCUCCUGGGUUCAAGUGAUCCUCCCACCUCAGCCUCCUGAGUAGCUGGGACUAUAGGUGUGCACCACCAUGCCUGGCU